GUGGGGAAUAUUGGACAAUGGGCGAAAGCCUGAUCCAGCCAUGCCGCGUGUGUGAAGAAGGUCUUCGGAUUGUAAAGCACUUUAAGUUGGGAGGAAGGGCAGUAAGUUAAUACCUUGCUGUUUUGACGUUACCGACAGAAUAAGCACCGGCUAACUUCGUGCCAGCAGCCGCGGUAAUACGAAGGGUGCAAGCGUUAAUCGGAAUUACUGGGCGUAAAGCGCGCGUAGGUGGUUUUGUAAGUUGGAGGUGAAAUCCCCGGGCUCAACCUGGGAACUGCCUCCAAAACUGCAUGACUAGAGUACGGUAGAGGGUAGUGGAAUUUCCUGUGUAGCGGUGAAAUGCGUAGAUAUAGGAAGGAACACCAGUGGCGAAGGCGACUACCUGGACUGAUACUGACACUGAGGUGCGAAAGCGUGGGGAGCAAACAGGAUUAGAAAUCCCUGUAGUCC
rnacentral:rRNA from 1 species